rnacentral:rRNA from 1 species
UACGAAGGGGGCUAGCGUUGCUCGGAGUCACUGGGCGUAAAGCGCACGUAGGCGGCUUUCUAAGUCAGGGGUGAAAUCCUGGAGCUCAACUCCAGAACUGCCUUUGAUACUGGAAAGCUUGAGUUCGGGAGAGGUGAGUGGAACUGCGAGUGUAGAGGUGAAAUUCGUAGAUAUUCGCAAGAACACCAGUGGCGAAGGCGGCUCACUGGCCCGAUACUGACGCUGAGGCGCGAAAGCCAGGGGAGCGAACGGG